rnacentral:rRNA from 1 species
UACGAAGGGUGCAAACGUUGCUCGGAAUUAUUGGGCGUAAAGCGCACGUAGGCGGCUAUCUAAGUCGGAUGUGAAAUCCCUCGGCUUAACCAAGGAAGUGCACCCGAAACUGGAUAGCUUGAGUACAGAAGAGGAUCGCGGAAUUCCCGGUGUAGAGGUGAAAUUCGUAGAUAUCUGGAGGAACACCGGUGGCGAAGGCGGCAUCCUGGACCGAUAUUGACGCUGAGGCGCGAAAGCCAGGGGAGCAAACGGG